rnacentral:rRNA from 1 species
AUGCAAGUCGAGCGCAGGCAUCUUGGGGGCAACCCCGAGGUGUACUGAGCGGCGAACGGGUGAGUAAUACGUAAAUAACCUACCUCUAGGUCUGGGAUAACCCCGGGAAACUGGGGCUAAUACCGGAUAAGACCACGAUUUUUAAGGAAGUUGAGGUAAAAGAUGGCUAGGCAACUAGCUAUCACUUAGGAACGGGUUUACGUCCCAUCAGGUAGUUGGUGAGGUAAUGGCUCACCAAGCUUAAGACGGGUAGCUGACCUUAGCGGGUAGUCAGCCACACGGGAACUGAGACACGGUCCCGACUCCUACGGGAGGCAGCAGUGGGGAAUAUUGGGCAAUGGGCGAAAGCCUGACCCAGCGACGCCGCGUGGGGGAUGAAGGUCUCCGGAUUGUAAACCCCUGUCAGGAGGGACGAUGGGNUUAUGGGCUAAUAUCUCAUAGGCUUGACGGUACCUUCAGAGGAAGCCCCGGGCUAACUCCGUG